rnacentral:rRNA from 1 species
UACGGAGGGUGCGAGCGUUAAUCGGAAUCACUGGGCGUAAAGCGCACGUAGGCGGUGUCGUAAGUCGGAUGUGAAAGCCCUCGGCUCAACCGGGGAACUGCAUUCGAUACUGCGAUGCUUGAGUGCCGGAGAGGGUGGCGGAAUUCCAGGUGUAGGAGUGAAAUCCGUAGAUAUCUGGAGGAACACCGGUGGCGAAGGCGGCCACCUGGCCGGCAACUGACGCUGAGGUGCGAAAGCGUGGGGAUCAAACAGGAUUAGAUACCCUGGUAGUCCACGCUGUAAACGAUGGAUGCUAGGUGUCGGGGGUUUACCCUCGGUGCCGCAGUUAACGCGUUAAGCAUCCCGCCUGGGGAGUACGGUCGCAAGGCUGAA